ACGCUCGACACCUACGGUAGGCAGCAGUGGGGAAUAUUGCACAAUGGGGAAACCCGGUACGAUGCAGCAACGACCGCCGUGAAGGAAGGAACGGUUUUCGGUAGUUGUUAACUUACUGUUCUUAGUUGAAGAUAGUGACGGUAGGCUACGGAGCAGACCACGGCGUAACUACGUGCGACGCAGCGCGGUAGUACUGAGCGGGCGUGGCGAGC
rnacentral:rRNA from 1 species